rnacentral:rRNA from 1 species
CCUACGGGUGGCAGCAGUGGGGAAUAUUGCACAAUGGGCGCAAGCCUGAUGCAGCCAUGCCGCGUGUGUGAAGAAGGCCUUCGGGUUGUAAAGCACUUUCAGCGGGGAGGAAGGCGUUAAGGUUAAUAACCUUGGCGAUUGACGUUACCCGCAGAAGAAGCACCGGCUAACUCCGUGCCAGCAGCCGCGGUAAUACGGAGGGUGCAAGCGUUAAUCGGAAUUACUGGGCGUAAAGCGCACGCAGGCGGUCUGUCAAGUCGGAUGUGAAAUCCCCGGGCUCAACCUGGGAACUGCAUUCGAAACUGGCAGGCUAGAGUCUUGUAGAGGGGGGUAGAAGUCCAGGUGUAGCGGUGAAAUGCGUAGAGAUCUGGAGGAAUACCGGUGGCGAAGGCGGCCCCCUGGACAAAGACUGACGCUCAGGUGCGAAAGCGUGGGGAGCAAACAGGAUUAGAUACCCCGGUAGUC